CUUGCUCUUGACGAAAGUGGCGCACGGGUGCGUAACGCGUAUGCAACCUACCUUAAUCAGGGGGAUAGCCCGAAGAAAUUCGGAUUAACACCGCAUAAAAACACAGGAUAGCAUUAUCCAAUGUUCAAAUAUUUAUAGGAUUAAGAUGGGCAUGCGUGUCAUUAGCUAGUUGGCGGGGUAACGGCCCACCAAGGCGACGAUGACUAGGGGAUCUGAGAGGAUGACCCCCCACACUGGUACUGAGACACGGACCAGACUCCUACGGGAGGCAGCAGUAAGGAAUAUUGGUCAAUGGAGGCAACUCUGAACCAGCCAUGCCGCGUGCAGGAAGACAGCCCUCUGGGUCGCAAACUGCUUUUAUUCGGGAAUAAACCUCAUUACGUGUAAUGAGCUGAAUGUACCGAAGGAAUAAGGAUCGGCUAACUCCGUGCCAGCAGCCGCGGUAAUACGGAGGAUCCAAGCGUUAUCCGGAUUUAUUGGGUUUAAAGGGUGCGUAGGCGGCUUAUUAAGUCAGGGGUGAAAGACGGUGGCUCAACCAUCGCAGUGCCCUUGAUACUGA
rnacentral:rRNA from 1 species